AUGGCAGGGGUGUUGGACCUGCUCCUCGGCAAGCUCACCAUGCUGCUCAGCGACGAGUACAAGAUGCUCACAGGGGUGAGGAGGCAUGCCUCCUUCCUCAAGGAUGAGCUUAGUGCCAUGAAAGCUCUCCUUGACAAGAUGGAGAUUAUGGACAAGCUUGAUCCCCCGACCAAGAACCGGAGGGACCAUAUAAGAGAGAUGUCCUAUGACAUGGAGAACUGCAUCGAUGACUUCAUGCAUGACAUUGAAGGUACCCAUUUAAAGGCAGGCUUUGUUAGAAAGAUGGUUCAGCGUCUUAGGAGGCUGGGGAGACGUCAUAAGAUAGCGAAGAGGAUCAAGGAGCUCAAGGUUCUUGCGGUGGAAGCAAAUGCUCGACGCGAGAGAUACAAGAUUGAUGGUUGCAUCAAUUCGAGUCGUGGUGUUGCGGUUGUGGAUCCCCGGAUGUCGGCGAUCUACAAGGAUGCGGCAUGCCUGGUGGGUAUUGAUGGCCCAAAAGAAGAGCUUGUCAAUUGGUUAAUGGAUUCACAGAAGAAACUCAAAGUAGUUUCUAUUGUGGGGUUCGGAGGUUUGGGUAAAACUACACUUGCCAAAUAGGUGUAUAAUGAGAUUGGAGGGCAAUUUAACAGUAAGGCAUUUGUUUCGGUCUCCCAAAGACCUGAUAUGAAAAGCCUUAUGUGGGGCCUACAAUUCAAGCUUGGACUGCAGGAGUCUUCUCAUGCUCACGAGCUGCAAGACUUCAUUGACCAGCUUAGAGAACACCUCAAACAUAAAAGGUACUUUAUUUUAUUGGAUGACUUGUGGGAUCAAUCGACAUGGAACAUUAUUAGUUGUGCCUUUCCUGAAAAUGAUAAUGGAAGUAGAGUAAUGGUAACCACACGAUUGGAUGACGUAGCUGCCAGGGCGUGUCACAAUGACCGUGCCUGCCUUUACAUAAUGAAGCCCCUUGGAGAGCAAGACUCAAGAAGAUUAUUCUUUAAUAGAGUAUUUGGGUCUGAAAAUGUCUGCUCGAUACAAUUCAAAGAAAUUUCAGUUGAAAUUCUCAAGAAGUGUGGCGGAUUGCCACUUGCAAUUAUCACCAUAGCUAGCCUAUUAGCUAGCCAUGAAGCAGGAUCUUCAAAUGGAUGGGAGAGCAUAAAGAAUUCUCUUGGCGCGAAGAUUGCCACAAAACCCACCUUGGACGAGAUGAGGGGUAUAUUAAACCUUAGCUAUACGCAUCUUCCUAUUCAUCUCCGACCAUGUUUUUUAUAUCUUGGCAUGUAUCCAGAAGACCGUUUGAUCAUUAGGGAUGACCUAGUUCGACAAUGGAUAGCCGAAGGAUUUGUUUGUAAUUUGCAUGGAGCAGAUUUGGAAGACGUUGCCAAGAGUUAUUUCGUUGAGCUUAUCAAUAGAGGUCUGAUUCAGCCUGAAGAAACAUGCUAUGGGGAUGUAAUUACAUGCAGGAUACACGACAUGAUGCUUGAUUUGAUCCUAAGCAAGAGUAAAGAGGAUAACUUCAUCAGUGUGGCAUAUAAGCAUGAAGACAUGGCAAGAUUUAAUAGUCGUGAGUACAAAGUUCGUCGAUUAUCUCUCCAAUCAAGUGUUGAUGGUGCAAUGUCGAAGACCCUUGCUACUAGCAUGUCACAAGUCCGAUCAUAUACACAGUUUGGAGAGUCCAAGUACAUGCUUCCUCUUCCACAAUUUAAGUAUCUACGGGUGCUUGCCUUUGAGUUUCCGUGGAAAACGACAAUCGACCUGAGGACAACUGGCCAUUUGUUUCUACUAAGGUAUUUGAAGGUUUCAGCUUUGUCCGCGGAUGUAGCGCUGCCUGUAGAAAUUCAAGGGCUUGUGCAUUUGGAAAUUCUUGAGUUACAUUGUCGUCCCAUACAAAGGUUCCCAUCAGAUAUCACUCGCUUGGCCAACUUGUUUCAUUUGAUACUUCCAGAGUGCACAUUGCUUCCUGAAGGGAUCCAGAACAUGAAAUCAGUCCGCACCCUGCAUUGUUCGGACAUCUCAGAGAGUUCUCUGGAGGAAAUCAAUGGCCUCAGCGAGCUGACCAACCUGAAGGAUUUGAAGUUACGUGUGCCCACUUACUUCCCAGGCAUGACGAUUGGAUGUUUCGAUGCUUUGCUCUCCUCCAUUGGAAUGCUUGGAGACCUCAAGCACCUCUCCCUCGAGUGCUGGCAUAAAUACGAUGGCUACGACAGCCAGUUGGACUCAUUGUCCGAUCCUCCACCCUAUCUCCAGACAAUCCAUUUGAAAGGUUUGUCAUUUAAUAUAGUUCCAAAAUGGAUUGGUGAGUUACGCUGCCUCCGGAUCCUCUCUCUGCGUGUCUUGUACCUGCCGAGUGACAUGGUUCGUGUUCUUGGAAAACUUCCCUCCCUCGUCUUCGCCAGGUUCUACGUGUCGGACGUCUCCCAAGACAAGGUGGUGGUCCGCACGGGGUUGUUCCCGGUUCUAGAGUGCUUUGAUUUCCAGUCCGAUGAAGAUGUCACCGCGAAUCUGAGCUUCGAGCCAGGAGCUAUGCCCAAGCUCCAAAGGCUCGCUCUGGCAUUCGACUGGCAAGAGUGGAGAGGCGCCACACCAACUGGCAUGGAGUGGGACAUUGACUUGAGUAUUACUACUGUUUCAAGCAAUAAUAAUCUGAAACAUAAAUACGAUACUAUGGAGUCUGCAUUCAAGGACGCCGCACGGAUGCACCCAAGACAUCCCUCUGUUACAUAUUUUUAG
rnacentral:rRNA from 1 species